rnacentral:rRNA from 1 species
GGCGGCGUGGAUUAGGCAUGCAAGUCGAGCGAGAAUCUAUGAUUGGAAGCUUCGGCCGAAGAGAUCAACGGAAAGCGGCAAACGGCGUAGUAAAGCGUAGGUACGUACCCUCAAGUUGGGAAUAGCCACGGGAAACUGUGGGUAAUGCCCAAUAAUAUCUGCGGAUCAAAGGUGUGAUUCCGCCUGAGGAGCGGCUUACGUGAUAUUAGCUUGUUGGUGGGGUAAUGGCCUACCAAGGCAACGAUGUCUAGGGGGUGUGAGAGCAUGGCCCCCACGACCGGAACUGAGACACUGUCCGGACACCUACGGGUGGCUGCAGUCGAGAAUCUUCCGCAAUGGACGAAAGUCUGACGGAGCGACGCCGCAUGCGGGAUGAAGGCCCUUGGGCUGUAAACCGCUGUCAGAGGGGAUGAAAUCAUGGUGGGCAAUCCCUCCAUGUUGACAGAGCCUCAGAGGAAGCACGGGCUAAGUACGUGCCAGCAGCCGCGGUAACACGUACUGUGCGAACGUUAUUCGAAAUCACUGGGCUUAAAGGGUAUGUAGGCGGUUUAUCAAGUCAGGUGUGAAAUGCCUGAGCUCAACUGAGGCACUGCGUUUGAAACUGAUAAACUAGAGUAUUCCAGAGGUGUGCGGAACUGCCAGUGGAGCGGUGAAAUGCGUUGAUAUUGGCAGGAACACCGGAGGCGAAGGCGGCACACUGGGGGAUAACUGACGCUGAGGUACGAAAGCCAGGGUAGCGAACGGGAUUAGAUACCCCGGUAGUCCUGGCUGUAAACGAUGAGCACUGGGCGAGAGAGAGUUCGCUCUUUUUUGCCGUAGCGAAACCAUUAAGUACUCCGCCUGGGGAGUAUGGUCGCAAGGCAA